CCCUAUUAUUAAAAUUUAAAUUGAAAAUACUAAAAUAGUAGAUAAUUAUUUAUUGAACCUUAAAUAAUUUGGCGGUAUUUUAGUUCAUUUAGAGGAAUCUGUUUAAUAAUUGAUAAUCCACGAAUAAAUUUACUUAAUUUUUUAUUUUGUAUAUCGUUGUUAAAAAAAUAUUUUUUAAUAAUAAUAAUAUUUAAAAAUUUUGAUUAAAAAUUAAAUCAGAUCAAGAUGCAGAUUAUAAUUAAGAAUAUAAUGGAUUACAAUAAAUUUAUUUAGAUGAAUAUUAAUUUGUAAAA
rnacentral:rRNA from 1 species